CNGCAUUGCCAGGAUCAGGAACAGUCCUC
rnacentral:piRNA from 1 species